rnacentral:tRNA from 1 species
GGGAAGGUAGCUUAGUGACAAAGCGCCGCACUGAUAAUGUGGAGAGCGAAGGCUCGAUCCCUUCCCUUCCUA